rnacentral:rRNA from 1 species
CAACGGAUCUCUUGGUUCUGGCAUCGAUGAAGAACGCAGCGAAAUGCGAUACGUAGUGUGAAUUGCAGAAUUCAGUGAAUCAUCGAAUCUUUGAACGCACAUUGCGCCCUUUGGUAUUCCAAAGGGCAUGCCUGUUCGAGCGUCAUUUGUACCCUCA